rnacentral:rRNA from 1 species
CAACCUGCCGCUUACUCGGGGAUAGCCUUUCGAAAGAAAGAUUAAUACCCGAUGGUAUAAAGAGUUCGCAUGUUCUCUUUAUUAAAGAAUUUCGGUAAGCGAUGGGGAUGCGUUCCAUUAGAUAGUUGGCGGGGUAACGGCCCACCAAGUCUACGAUGGAUAGGGGUUCUGAGAGGAAGGUCCCCCACAUUGGAACUGAGACACGGUCCAAACUCCUACGGGAGGCAGCAGUGAGGAAUAUUGGUCAAUGGACGCGAGUCUGAACCAGCCAAGUAGCGUGAAGGAUGACUGCCCUAUGGGUUGUAAACUUCUUUUAUAAGGGAAUAAAGUGAGGGACGUGUCCCUUUUUGUAUGUACCUUAUGAAUAAGGAUCGGCUAACUCCGUGCCAGCAGCCGCGGUAAUACGGAGGAUCCAAGCGUUAUCCGGAUUUAUUGGGUUUAAAGGGAGCGUAGGUUGACAUAUAAGUCAGCUGUGAAAGUUUACGGCUCAACCGUGAAAUUGCAGUUGAUACUGUAUGUCUU